rnacentral:misc_RNA from 1 species
GAUGAAGAACGCAGUGAAAUGCGAUAAGUAAUGUGAAUUGCAGAAUUCAGUGAAUCAUCGAAUCUUUGAACGCACAUUGCGCCCGCCAGCAUUCUGGCGGGCAUGCCUGUUCGAGCGUCAUUUCAACCCUCAAGCUCUGCUUGGUGUUGGGGCCCUACGUCUGACGUAGGCCCUCAAAGACAGUGGCGGACCCUCUCGGAGCCUCCUUUGCGUAGUAACUAACGUCUCGCACUGGGAUUCGGAGGGACUCUUGCCGUAAAACCCCCAAUUUUUACAGGUUGACCUCGGAUCAGGUAGGAAUACCCGCUGAACUUAAGCAUAUCAAUAAGCGGAGGA